GUGGGGGUUGUGGGCAUGCGCUGCAGGGGAAAACGCCGAGCACUGGAAGGGGCCACCAUUCCUUCCUCUUUCCUCUUACCAACACUGGAUGUGGUGUUGGGGAUGGAAGGUGACAACAGGCAUCAGCAAUGUCGCAGCAUCCUUGGGUGGGUUUGGAGCAGUGUUCAAAAGACGUACCCACCUGUGUUAGGUAUGGUAUAUUGUUUGUGGUGGAUCCACAACACACUACGCUCAGGAAUAUUAUUACAGAUGGAUCCACCAUUUGCUACAGCUGGGAACACCGUUUGGAGUGGAUUCACCUGCGCAAAGCCCUAGAUAAAAUUUGGGGCAGAUCCAUCUGCACAAAAUUACUAACAUACAAUCCCCCUCCAAAUCCUAGCCCCCCUCCCCUUUAUCAGUUUGUGUAGUAUGUUUUCCUGUGAUUACCGUCAACCAGUGUCCACACACUGAGACUGUACUGGUUCUUCCCUGGUGUAGACACUUCACUUGUGCAGUGAGCACUGUUGUGAUGACAGCUGUAUUUCGCUGACCUAUCUUGAGCCAUGUGGUGGUGGAGGCAACAUUCGCUUGAUGGGGUCACAGUGAUUGAGAAGAAAUGGUGGUGCUUCUACUGUUAUCAGGCUCUUUGGUUAUUCGUUGGUGGUCCACCACAACACCUUCCAACAGCGGCUGCAUGGAAUAACACAUCCACGACGGCCAGUGAUGACUUCCUGUCACAACUAAUGCCUGUGUGAGCUGCAGCUCCAGUGUAUAUUCUUGGCUCUGUGUAAAGAAGCCCAGUGACAGUGUUUUGCUCCACUCUAGUUCAGUUAACUUGAAAUAAUAGUUUUUCUCUCUACAUUCAUGUGAAUAUCUUCCUUCUCAAAGAGCCUUAGAGUGUACACUCCUGGUCUAGUGCAGGGUAAUGAAGUUUCUGCGUGUGAGAUGCAAAGCUUGUUCACAUGCUUCGCAAAUACUCAUACUUAAGAAUUCACAAUUCUGGCAUGCAAGAGUCAACAUUACACUGACGUGUUCCAAAUGUCCUGUGAGGCGGGACACCAGUCCUGAGUGUCAUUGGAAACACUUGGUGCACCAUCAUUGUUUAGUUGAACCAUGUGUUAAAAAACUGCCCAGUAGAGACAUUCAUAUUGUGCAUGUUGUGAACAUUAAUUACAAAAGUGGUGUCAACUUAAUACGCUCACUCAUCACAAUCUUUACUAUUUUAAGUCACCACAGAAUGGACAAUCAGUGAUGCUUUAUAAGUGCUAAACUCUGGUCCAUUUAGUAUAUUAAAGCUAUCAGUUGUAAUUUAUGUUUAUGUAAAAUUUUUGCUUGUAUCUUUGAGUGUAAUCUGUAUGGGUCAUACAUUACAAAGUAGUAACUCAAAUGUAUCUGUUUCAUGUAAACUGGUAAUUCUGAACUAACGGAAGUAACCUUGAGAUGCCAGGAGAGCUGAUCAGACAUUUCCCACCUGCUGUUCUGGUUGAUGACCUUCUGUUUAGAAACCGAUCACUAACAUGGAUCCUACCACAGCCGGUGAUGUCACGUGCACCCUAUCCUUGGUCAUCACAUAGUGCACAUCCAACCAGUCCUACAACCCAAUAUUUAAUGAACUGUAACUAUUUAUUUGACAAAAAAAGCAACAAUAACCUUCCUUUUAUUGUGACCACUUUGUAUAUGUAUAUGCUGUGCAGUGCGGGAUCCACUUCAGAUAGGACUGAUGGAGAACAUUAAAAAUGUUAACAGAAGGGCAGCUCAUUUUGCAUUAUUGCAAAAUAAGGGAGAGUGCCAUAGAUAUGAUUCAUGGACUGAGGUGGCAGACGUUACAACAAUGGAAUUGUUCACUGCAGAGAGACCUUUUCAUGAAAUUCAAUCACCAACUUUUUCCUCAGAGUGUGAAAAUAUUUUUUUGGUACCCACCUACUUAUAAGAAAUCACAUCUCACACAGAAAUCUUUAAGUGUUCGUUUUUCCCACACACUGUUCAAGAGUGGAACAGUAGAGAGGUUGCUUGGAGGUGAUUCAGUGAAACCUCUAUCAGGCACUUAAUUGUGAGUUGCAGAGUAAUCAUGUAGCUGUAUUUGUAGAGUAGAUUUGUAUCACAACCCAAUGACUAUGUUGUUUACAGAAAUGGUUGAACUGAUAAAUACUCACUAUGGUAACAAAGCGCAUAGAGCAUUUGU